CCCUUAGAUGUUCUGGGCCGCACGCGCGCUACACUGUUUGAUUCAGCGAGUCUUAACCUUGAUCGAAAGGUUUGGGUAAUCUUCUAAAGUCAAACGUGAUGGGGAUCGAUCAUUGCAAUUAUUGAUCGUGAACGAGGAAUUCCUAGUAAAUGCAAGUCAUCAGCUUGCGUUGAUUACGUCCCUGCCCUUUGUACACACCGCCCGUCGCUACUACCGAUUGAAUGGUUUAGUGAGAUCUCCGGAUUGGCUCUGUAGGUCCCGCAAGGGAUUUAUUAGUAGCCAAGAAGCUGCUCAAACUUGAUCAUUUAGAGGAAGUAAAAGUCGUAACA
rnacentral:rRNA from 1 species